CUUUGUGACUAAAGGUACUACUCAUUGUGAACUAUGUUUUUUUUUGUUUACUUUCCUGGUUGCUUCAUUUAAAAUGCUGGGAAUAUAAUUUUUUUACCAGGGGAAAAAAAAACUGUCUUAGUAAACUGAAGAAAUGCUGGAAAGGAAUUUGCUCCAUCUUUCUCCCCUCACAGUAUAUAUACAGAGUAUUAAUCUUCAGACAGGCAGAGGAGGAUAACUGGUGUGAGCAGGCAUGCACUACAAUCAACAGUGAUUUAAUUCCAUUCCGGUUCUAACGUUUAAAAACAUUAUCCUUUCCAAGUACCAUUAAUCAAAUCCUUGUUUAGGAAAUACCAAAUUAGUUGCUAUUGCUAAAAGGCCAUCAAUAGAUUUUAAUUUUUCAGAGGACUAUUCCACUGCUGGGUUUUUGUUCAGAUUUGGUUGUUGGCUAUUAGCUUUUCAUCAGGAGUGUUACAAAAGGCUUGUUCAGCACAUCUCUAUCUUCAAACUUGAGAUGGAAGGGAACCAUCUGCAGAGCAUAAAGUAUCCUUGGCACAGCAGCUGUUCUCGUGUCCAUGAGAGAGGGAGCUGGUUUCAGUGCCUGAUAUUUCCUUCUAAAUUAUUAGAAGUUAAUGUAGUUCACAUGAAUGACCCGGGUUGUUCUGGCAUAGUUUGGAGGCAAGAUGAAGUCUGACUGGAUUUAAGGUAUUAUAUUCCCACACAUGUCUCAUGAAGAAAUUUUCUUGGAACUAAGAAGAUCACUGAGGAAAAAUCCCUUAUUCUUUCUGGCUUAGAGCAAAAUGUGCAUAUGUGAAGUGUAACUCUGGCGAGGCUUUUCAAAAUCUCUUGUUUCAGACUGAUACUCAUGACUGUGCCAGGUAUCCUUAAACAGUGGAACUGCUAUCAGCAAACGACCCUCUUUUCCAAGAUCACAAGAAUGCAACUGUGCUGCGCUGAAAGAAGGAAGUGAGGUAGAUUUUCACUUACGGACAGAAUGAAAGCUGGAAUUGGUUUCAUAUUUUCCCCCAUGUUUUCUUUUCCACUCUCAGUCAUAUCUGUAUGGCUGAUGGUUAACAGGGUGCUUUGCUUCAAUGUGAGGAAACAUUUGUUAUUGCUUGCUCACUAUUUUCCGUAGCAACACAAUGUCUCUGUUUAGGAACCAGCGGAGAUGAGCAAACAGAAAAGCCUUUAAGAAGAAGUUUGUAAAAGAAGCUAAAUUAACUCUUUCAGUUUAACUGCAUAGUCAGUAUUUAUUCUGCUAUUAAAAAAUAUCUUGUCAAGGGCCAGAGAGUCCUCAAUAUUUAAGCUCAAGAAUGGACAUUUUGGGUCAGAUCCUAAGCACAGAAAGCCAUCUCUGCCAGCACAGGGUAGUAGACUCCUACAGAACACAAAAGCAGGAAAGGCAUGACAUGAUAAAUGCCCUACUAUAACCCUCUUCUAAUUUUCUUCCCCAACUUCUUUCAAGCUGCAACUGAGAAACUACCUUGACUGAAAAUGGUAUAUGUGUUUUUAAAUGCAAGUAUGUACAAAGCAGUUAGAUUGCAAAUAAAUUUAUCCUUUACUUUACUAAUGACA
ensembl:lncRNA